AAUGGCAGAUCAUUACCCACUCUAUAGAGUUCCCUGUUCACAGGCUGUGAUAGGUAAAGACAUCACAGCUAAAAAUACUAAUGUCCCUGUGCCAGAUGAAUAUCAAGCACAGCAGAGCUAGCUAGCUAGCUAGCUAGUGAAUAUUGUACUUUCUGGAUAACCUCCAGCAUGUAUAAAUAGUAGUUUGAAAUCACAUGCAGAGAUCAUCCCACGUACCUCCUCGUCCAGCACACGUACACGUAUGUGUGCACUCACGGCUGUCAGAGCCGGAGUUACACAUAACCACUAGUACUUGACUCCACAACACACCACAACCUUGCAAGGAAUAACCUCGCCCUCUACCUGGGGACCUCAGACUAAAGACUUUGCGACAGAUGCACACCUUUCUUGGGGAGCAUUAUGCUAAAUAAUUCCGCGAUUGUGAUCGGUUCGUUGUGUGUCAUAAGUAUAGGAUAUAGUCUACCACACCUAAGAGGAGGAUGUGACCGCAGCACUAAAAGGACCCCCCCUAGCAACAAUUCAAUCCACGAUACAGACUGCAAGACUAUGCCGGAUUUUGCAACCGUCAAAGAGCUAGUUGAGCAACACGUCGACUCCUACUGAUGCUCAAGAGCUUCCUUGGCCCAAGCGUUGACCAUUCGACGCCCUAUACUGGAGUUGCAAGCUCUUCUUAGAUAAAAUAAUUAUAUGUAAAUCGCGCCCAUGGACCUUAUAGCCAUCUUCUUGUUGGAGAGCACCUUCCGUGUUUUUGCCGUCGCUUUGAGUCUUAGUACCGUCAAGCAUGGCUCUUUUCUCUUUACUUACUUUCUUGAACAAAUGAAAAAACUAAAAAAUAACUUGAAAAACUGUACAUACCGGGGCUGUUGCCUGUAUGCUAUAUAUCCUACAGCUGUUGACCAAUUAAUGAGAUCAAUUAGUGGUGCCGUAAGUGUGGUAUAAUUGUGUGGUUAUAUAUACCUAGAAUAUUUACACCCCAUGCUAUUGUAGUUACACCCCUAGCCUCCUUCACAAGGCCUAAACAAUUAGGCCUGCUACUGACUGCUUGCGCAUGCGCAAAAUUAUUGGAUAAUAUUCCCGUAAUGUUUCCCAUUAAACUGAAUUUUUACCCGAAUUAUAUCCUGAAUAACAUAUACAGACAAAGAAUACUCUUCAUAAAGUCAGACACAGAGCUAUAUAGCUAGCUAGCUAGAGACAGAGCUGUAUUGGUUACAGCAGCAAUUUCUUUCUGAUAGAGUCGACUUUCACCAAGGUUAGUGUCAGAUGGGCGUGGCCUAUCCAUAUAGGCUAUUGUCAGCCUUCCCCUCCGUUCAGAGGAUUGUUAUCCACACUGUUGCAGGCUGUGAGUCCUUUGUUAACAUAGUAGGCUAAGGGUAGCUAUUAGAAUGCUAUCACACGGGCUACAAUCACACUUCUAUCCACUUUCUUCAAUCCACUUCCAUUCGUUGUGACGUCAUUGUUUUACUGAGCAAAAUACUGGCAAUAUACAAUGGUAUCCGAAUUACCCACUUUCUGGGUAAUAGGUGGCGCAUGCGCAAACAGUCGAUACCAGGCCCUCUCUUAGCGGCCUGGAAUCGAGGCUAUUACACCCCAUGCUAUUGUAGUUUACACCCUUAUGCUAUGAUAUUUACACUCCCUUUUGUUUACUCCCCAAACCAGGUCAUGAUUACACCCUAGUACAUGGUGUAUACACCCCUAUUUUAACAGUGUAAGUGUGGUAUAAUUAUGUAUACCGUAUUACUAGAAUAUUUUGCAGGUGAAAAACCUUUGCGAAUGAGCCAAAUCAGCAGAAAAUUUGACCCUUUGCGAUCUAACUAUAUAUUGCGUACUGGCAAGGAUCGUGUGUAUUUACUAGUAAUAAUGCGGAUUUUAUUGGAUCAACCCUCGCAAAAUUCGCAAAUGUUUGAUGCUCGCAAAGCAUUCUAGUAAUACGGUAUAGGCUAGGGCUUCAAGGAAAGAAGCUUAAGGUCAUCUCGUGCAGCCGUUCACUACUGUAUACUGCCAUGCUAAAGCUUUGCACACGAAAUUCAUUAUAGUUAUAAUUGUUGUCUGGCAUAACAACUAUCAUUAUGCUGUUAUUAUUUUGUGCAUGCAUUUCCAUUAAAGUGGCAUUUCAAUUAUUAAAAGGGGCAAAGGGACAUGCCAUUUCUUGGUUAUCAGUUGAACUUUGAGCCUAUAAUUAUUGUAGAGAAAUUUGUGUAGCCGGAUAAUCAAGGUUAUCGAGGUACUGGUACUGAUAAAUUAAACCUUGAUUUAUCAGUGAGGUCACCAGUACCUAACUACACUGACUUCAUGCAAAUACAUUAAUUUUGGGACUGGUAAAGGAGGAUCUUUAAAGGUAGAAAGCACUGAGGCCAUAUAAAACAUCUAACUGAAAUGCCUGACCUUUCAUCGAUAAUUGCGUUUAUAAUCAGUACACAUAAUCUACCCCAUCCCAUCUGCUGUAAAUAGGAGAGCCAUGAUUUACUUUAUUAUUUUUUUAUAGUAAGGCCAUUUCACAUAAAACAAUGGAAUGUUAGCUUACCGUUAAUUAGUGUGACGUCAUCACGGCUAGGGUACAUUUCUGCGCCAUUUUUUAACCACUAACAAUGAAGUGAAUGUAAAAGUAAAAGUACAUCAACUUCUGCGCAAAAACCCAGUAAAAAGACAUUCCAGUAAAGUUAUAAGUUCUCAAGGCUGUAUUAGAGUUAAUAUAGAACGUGUAACGUGUAAGCCUGGUUAUAACUACAUGCAGUACUACAAUAGGACUAUACCUUGAUAUGUAAGUGAGUUGCACUGGACUGAGUACAAUUACUUGUAGUUUAUUAUGCACUGGUGUGUAUGAAUAUUGAGAUAUUGUUGUAAUGGCCUCAACUAAA